rnacentral:rRNA from 1 species
AGUGAACGCUGGCGGCAGGCCUAAUACAUACAAGUCGAACGGCAGCACAGCAGAGCUUGCUCUGUGGUGGCGAGUGGCGGACGGGUGAGGAAUACAUGGGAAUCUGCCCAGUCGUGGGGGAUAACGUAGGGAAACUUACGCUAAUACCGCAUGCGCCCUUCGGGGGAAAGCCGGGGACCUUCGGGCCUGGCGCGAUUGGAUGAGCCCAUGUCGGAUUAGCUAGUUGGCGGGGUAAUGGCCCACCAAGGCGACGAUCCGUAGCUGGUCUGAGAGGAUGAUCAGCCACACUGGAACUGAGACACGGUCCAGACUCCUACGGGAGGCAGCAGUAGGGAAUAUUGGACAAUGGGCGCAAGCCUGAUCCAGCCAUGCCGCGUGAGUGAAGAAGGCCCUCGGGUUGUAAAGCUCUUUUGUCCGGAAAGAAAAGCGCCGGGUUAAUACCCUAGUGUCCUGACGGUACCGGAAGAAUAAGCACCGGCUAACUUCGUGCCAGCAGCCGCGGUAAU